AUUGAACGCUGGCGGCAGGCCUAACACAUGCAAGUCGAGCGGAUGAAGGGAGCUUGCUCCUGGAUUCAGCGGCGGACGGGUGAGUAAUGCCUAGGAAUCUGCCUGGUAGUGGGGGAUAACGUCCGGAAACGGGCGCUAAUACCGCAUACGUCCUGAGGGGGAAAGUGGGGGAUCUUCGGACCUCACGCUAUCAGAUGAGCCUAGGUCGGAUUAGCUAGUUGGUGGGGUAAAGGCCUACCAAGGCGACGAUCCGUAACUGGUCUGAGAGGAUGAUCAGUCACACUGGAACUGAGACACGGUCCAGACUCCUACGGGAGGCAGCAGUGGGGAAUAUUGGACAAUGGGCGAAAGCCUGAUCCAGCCAUGCCGCGUGUGUGAAGAAGGUCUUCGGAUUGUAAAGCACUUUAAGUUGAGAGGAAGGGCAGUAAGUUAAUACCUUGCUGUUUUGACGUUACCAACAGAAUAAGCACCGGCUAACUUCGUG
rnacentral:rRNA from 1 species